rnacentral:rRNA from 1 species
GAUGAACGCUGGCGGCGUGCUUAACACAUGCAAGUCGAACGAUGAAAGAAGCUUGCUUCUGGAUUAGUGGCGAACGGGUGAGUAACACGUGAGUAACCUGCCCUUGACUCUGGGAUAAGCACUGGAAACGGUGUCUAAUACCGGAUACGACCUUCAGCCGCAUGGCUCGGGGGUGGAAAGAAUUUGGUCAAGGAUGGACUCGCGGCCUAUCAGCUAGUUGGUGAGGUAAUGGCUCACCAAGGCGACGACGGGUAGCCGGCCUGAGAGGGUGACCGGCCACACUGGGACUGAGACACGGCCCAGACUCCUACGGGAGGCUG